AUGAGCACAAGUGUUUUCAUGAAAGUUAUCCCAUUUGAUCUCACUGCAGGCCUAGCCAUGGUGGACACUAGAAUCCUGAAUUUACACACAAGAGCACCAAGGAUCAGAGGAGAAAGGUGUUUACCCAAAUCCGUAUCUCCUAGGGGCACAAGCUCAAGGCUUCGGACUUGUGGUCCAGAAUUCUAUACUAUGUCCAGCAUGACAGGUUGGAACAGAAAUGGAAAUGAAGGGUUCAAGACACUUCUACUUCAUUGCUCUCUGUCCCUCAGUUUCACACAAAUUAACUGGCUUCUGGUUUCAGCAUCACAGAACCUUUUGAAACUCCUGAAAUCAAUCACAAAUUGUGUUCUUUGUUCCUGUGCUGUGUGUGCCCACUGUGGACUGAACGUGGAUCUUGCUCUGUUGCCCAGGCUAGAGUGCAAUGGCAUGAUCUUGGCUCACUGCAGCCUCCAACUCUUGGGUUCAAGCAAUUCUCCUGCCUCAGCCUCCUAUGUAGUUGGGACCACAGGUAUAUGCCACCAAGCCUGGCUAAUUUUCAAACUUUUUUUGUAAGACAAGUUCUCACUUUGUUGCCCAGGCUGGUCUCAAACUCCUGAGCUCUAGCCAUCAUCCAGCCUCGGCCUCCCAAAGUGCUGGGAUUACAGGUGUGAACUGCUGCACCUGGCCUCAUCAAGUAUUUAUUUAAAAAAAAUUGUUUUUGACACAAAGUCUCACUCUGUUGCCUGAGCUGGAGUACAGAGGUGUGAUCAUAGCUCACUGCAGCCUUGACCACCCAGGCUCAAGCAAUUCUCCUGCCUCAGCCUCCCAAGUAGCUGGGACUCCAAGUACAUGUGACCACACCCAGCUAAUUUUUUUUUUAAUAGAGAUGAAGUCUCUACAUUGCUCAAGAUGAUCUUGAACUCCUGAGUUCAAGGGAUUCUCCUACCUUAGCCAAAAUGCUGAGUUACAGGCAUGAGUCCACUGCAUCCAGCCUCUUAUCAAGUAUUUCUAAUGCAAACUUAGUAUCUAAAUCAUGUGUCUUACAUGUAAUGUAGACACAUUUUGAAGAUUUAUUGUGAAAAAAAAGAAUGUAAAAUAUAUAAUUAAUAAUGUUCACAUUGAUGAUAGGUUGAAAUAAUAUAUUUUGGGUAUAUUCG
rnacentral:lncRNA from 13 species